rnacentral:rRNA from 1 species
UACGUAGGGUGCAAGCGUUAAUCGGAAUUACUGGGCGUAAAGCGUGCGCAGGCGGUCCGUUAAGACAGGUGUGAAAGCCCCGAGCUUAACUUGGGAAUUGCGCUUGUGACUGGCGUGCUGGAGUGUGGCAGAGGGAGGUGGAAUUCCACGUGUAGCAGUGAAAUGCGUAGAGAUGUGGAGGAACACCGAUGGCGAAGGCAGCCUCCUGGGCCAGCACUGACGCUCAUGCACGAAAGCGUGGGGAGCAAACAGG